UUUGUGAUUGUAAUUUUGACUUUAAUCGUUCAGUCGAUUUGUACCUUAAGAAUUGGUGUAAUGGGAAGGAGACAUGCAACUUUCGAACACCUAUGCCAAAUUAUGAAAGUUGCUACAAAAAGACGUCUUACAAUAGAAGCGACAUCUAUAAUGAUUAUGCAUAUUCCUACAUAGAAUAUGAAUGUUUGACAGCCACAACUACCUUACCAACCAUAAAAACAAGGACUACAAGAGAACAAGAUACACACGCCUUAAUAAUAACACGCCAGGUAUAUACGGAUACACGUUCAAUAAAGUCGACUAAACAAGCCAAUUCUAGACCUCGGUCAUCCACGGAAUCUUAUUUUGAUGAAAAUAAACCUGGAAGAACAGAAGCUGUCUUAUAUACAAUAAACAACGCAAAGGCUGGUAACCAUAAUCAAGAUGUCGGAGAUAAGGCUGUUAUUGCUGAAAUUGUCGUGUGGUGUAUUCUUCUGGUCAUAUUUAUCUUCACUGUUGUUGUUUUCAUAUUUAAACGGUAAGCUGCAAUACUAUAUACCGGAAAACACCGGAAAACAACCGGAAAACACCGAAAAACAACCGAAAAACACCAUUUUAUACUGAAUACCGGACAACACCGGAAAACACCCUAAAUACCGGAAAACACCCUAAAUACCGGAAAACACCCUAAAUAGGUAACCCGGAGUCUGGUCCUCUGUGUGCGGUUUUGGACCAA